GGCUCUGUGGCGCAAUGGAUAGCGCAUUGGACUUCUAAUUCAAAGGUUGUGGGUUCGAGUCCCACCAGUCGUCA